rnacentral:rRNA from 1 species
CGGGUUAAGUCCCGUAACGAGCGCAACCCUUGUCCUUAGUUACCAGCACGUUAUGGUGGGCACUCUAAGGAGACUGCCGGUGACAAACCGGAGGAAGGUGGGGAUGACGUCAAGUCAUCAUGGCCCUUACGGCCUGGGCUACACACGUGCUACAAUGGUCGGUACAAAGGGUUGCCAAGCCGCGAGGUGGAGCUAAUCCCAUAAAACCGAUCGUAGUCCGGAUCGCAGUCUGCAACUCGACUGCGUGAAGUCGGAAUCGCUAGUAAUCGUGAAUCAGAAUGUCACGGUGAAUACGUUCCCGGGCCUU